AUUGAACGCUGGCGGCAGGCUUAACACAUGCAAGUCGAGCGGGGUGAUGGUGCUUGCACUAUCACUUAGCGGCGGACGGGUGAGUAAUGCUUAGGAAUCUGCCUAUUAGUGGGGGACAACAUCUCGAAAGGGAUGCUAAUACCGCAUACGUCCUACGGGAGAAAGCAGGGGAUCACUUGUGACCUUGCGCUAAUAGAUGAGCCUAAGUCGGAAUAGCUAGUUGGUGGGGUAAAGGCCUACCAAGGCGACGAUCUGUAGCGGGUCUGAGAGGAUGAUCCGCCACACUGGGACUGAGACACGGCCCAGACUCCUACGGGAGGCAGCAGUGGAGAAUAUUGGACGAUGGGGGGAACCCUGAUCCAGCCAUGCCGCGUGUGUGAAGAAGGCCUUAUGGUUGUAAAGCACUUUAAGCGAGGAGGAGGCUCUUUUGGUUAAUACCCAAGAUGAGUGGACGUUACUCGCAGAAUAAGCACCGGCUAACUCUGUGCCAGCCGCCGCCGUAA
rnacentral:rRNA from 1 species